AUGUUCACUUUGGCCGCAUAUACACUAAAACUGGAACAUUAAAGACAAGAUUAGCAUGGUCCCUGAGCAGGGAUGACACGUAAAUUCAUCAAACGUCCCAUGUUUUA
ensembl:snRNA U6 U6 spliceosomal RNA